GGGGGCAUGUGCACACUCUGUUUACACAUCCACUCACACCUGUGCACCCUCUGUAGUUCUAUGGCGUGGGGGGCCCUGCCCUCCUGCUGUGGUUCUAUGUCUUUACACACACACUGUGAUGAAGUCUCAUGGAAUGUACAUCGCGUUUAACGCAAUAUAAUACAACUUUCAGCAACGGAUCUCUUGGCUCUCGCAUCGAUGAAGAACGCAGCGAAAUGCGAUAAGUAGUGUGAAUUGCAGAAUUCAGUGAAUCAUCGAAUCUUUGAACGCACCUUGCGCCCUUUGGCUAUUCCGAAGGGCAUGCCUGUUUGAGUAUCAUGAACACCUCAACUCUCAUGGUUUUCCCAUGACGAGCUUGGACUUUGGGGGUCUUGCUGGCCUAUGGUCGGCUCCUCUUAAAUGAAUCAGCUUGCCAGUGUUUGGUGGCAUCCCAGGUGUGAUAACUAUCUACGCUUGUGGUUUUCCGUCAAGU
rnacentral:rRNA from 1 species